rnacentral:lncRNA from 1 species
GUAUGAACAGUCUACAUGGAAAUUUGGUUUUACCGACGAAUAGCUUAAUUUUGAAGUUUUACGCAUACCUGAACACACUUUCAAAAUAACCAAUUUAUAUAAAACUUUAUGUAGAUAUAAAUAGAUACCAGAAUUAAAUUGAUGUACAAAAGAUGCGAUUUGAGUCUUCAAAAAAGCAUCAGUGACGCUCGAAUUAAAAAAAGUUAAAAGGC